GACGAACGCUGGCGGCGUGCUUAACACAUGCAAGUCGAACGGUAAGGCCCUUCGGGGUACACGAGUGGCGAACGGGUGAGUAACACGUGGGUGAUCUGCCCUGCACUUCGGGAUAAGCCUGGGAAACUGGGUCUAAUACCGGAUAGGACCCUGGGAUGCAUGUCCUGGGGUGGAAAGCUUUUGCGGUGUGGGAUGGGCCCGCGGCCUAUCAGCUUGUUGGUGGGGUGAUGGCCGACCAAGGCGACGACGGGUAGCCGGCCUGAGAGGGUGACCGGCCACACUGGGACUGAGAUACGGCCCAGACUCCUACGGGAGGCAGCAGCGGGGAAUAUCGCACAAUGGGCGCAAGCCUGAUGCAGCGACGCCGCGUGAGGGAUGACGGCCUUCGGGUUGUAAACCUCUUUCAGCACCGACGAAGCGCAAGUGACGGUAGGUGCAGAAGAAGGACCGGCCAACUACGUGCCAGCCGCCGCAGUAA
rnacentral:rRNA from 1 species